UGGAACAAAAAGUUAAAUCAAAUCUUAGUUGAGGAUGACAAUCUCAAAGUUUGUUAGCUGGUUAUUCAAGUGUCAUCUAAUAAUAAUAUCACUUGCCAGAUUAAGUGAGAGAUAAAUACAAAAGUUAUUGAUAAACAAUCAUAAUAUUCUUCAUCGGCCCUGAAUCAAUGAUAAGGUUAUAUCAUUAGUUGAAGAUGAUACUCGAUUUCUUGCUGGUGAUGGUGUUUCAG
rnacentral:lncRNA from 1 species